CUUCCGGACGCGGGCUCGCGCCUCCCGGGCGCACCUCGGGGCCCGCGGGCCGAGUGUCGCUAGGACGUUUUCCGCAGGCCUAGCAGGCGGACCCCGCGGCUCGGAGCAAGCGGUGCAGGUAAGCGGGCCCGGGCACCGCUCGGCAUCUCAGGGCCCCUGCGGCCCUCCCGGCUCGGCACGGCGGGUCCCGCGGUCUCCGCGAGAAGCACCUCCUUCGACGGCCAAGGGCCCCGGCGGCGACUGGAGAGAGGGCUCUGCAAGGGCUCCGCAGCCUGCUCCGGGACAAAGAAAAGAGCUUUUGUUUCUCUCCAGCCGGUGGGGCUUCUGCUGCAUAAAUCAGCUUAGCGAAGAGCCAAACACAAUCAAACCCAAACAAAGCCCGAAGCUGGGGGGGAAACCACCCUAAUGUACAUUCACUGGGUGAUGCUGGAUCUGUGGGAGGGGACGCCGGCGAGGUCGAGGGGAAAAAAGUCUGUGGCGCAUCAAUCAGCGCAGUUGCUUCCACAGGUGGGCAGGGAGGCCAACACCAUUAGUUGCAGCUUUGCAGCCCCGUCUGCGGAGCAGCGGGCAAAGACAAGUCGGCAGCGUCCUGGCUGGCAAGGGAGGAAGCUCGGGAUGCCAGCAACAGGGGGAGGCGGCUCUGGGAGCGCCCUAGAAGCACCCGCCGACACCCGCAG
rnacentral:lncRNA from 1 species